rnacentral:ribozyme from 1 species
UUUUUUUUUUUUUUUUUUUUUUUUUUUUUUUUUUUUUUUAGACGGGCACUGUUGAAAU